CAGUGAGUCUCGAGACCAUUCAUUUUGUGCGGGAGAAUGACUUUCUAAACCCUAAACCGAGGAAAAAGCAUCUGCUGGGGAAGACAUGCCCCUGAGUUCCUUUUAAAAUGUUACAGAUGUAGAUGAAUUGGCUUGGGAACGAGAACAUAGCCCUGUGGGGCCUGGCCACCCCGCUGAUGGGGCUGGACAGACGGACCCCACAGGGAGGCUCUUGAAUGCCUUCUCUCUUGAAGCACAAUGAGGGAAAUUACAGCAAAUCUGAGACCAAGUUUGGAUUUUAGUGCUUAAGAAAUACCCACAGGGAAUGAAAUAAAUGCCUAAUUACAGAUUUUGUGUUUUUGCAUGCAUUCUUAGUUAUCACCCCUUCCUCAUUGGAGACAAUGAAUCAUCCCCACCCCGUAGAGGGCCCUCUCCUGGAGGAAAAGAAGAACAAUCGGAGAGCAGCUGAACUCAAUUGUAAACCUGUGAUGGAGAAAAUAAAACUAUGGUGAUAUUCUAUCAUUGUGGCAUUACUCCAAUGAACAGGUAGUUUCUUUUGGUAAAGGUUUCUGGUGUCUUUAAAUGGGAUAGGAGUUAGUUAGAGUUGAAUUCAGGGGAGCUGAGAAUGAGAGAAAAUAAAUUAUUCUGAGGAUAUCAAUGGAAUUGAAAACUCUUAUUUUCGAAAUGAUGAGUUUCUUUCAUUUAUCUAAACCUGUAUUGAUGGCACAUAGAUGAUAUGACAGCUAUUUUUUUUUAUUACAAAACUCAGUGACAUGGACCUCCCACAGUAAAUUCAGAGCGGAGGCCUCUCGUGAGGCCAUCUUUGUGUAGACGUAACAAGCCGUAAUGUGAUGAAAGGUAAAGUCAAAGCUCUCUCACAGACAAUACCUAACUGCAUUAUUUUAAGUUUCCUAACUACAGCUAUGAAGCAUUUCUUAGAAAAUUAUUUCUUGACUUACUAUUGACAAAAUCUACUGGAGAAGAGCUUUUAGCAAGGGUAUUCUUAUGGUAUGGAGGAAAAAAUAAAAAAUCCAGAAGUGUUAGCCUGGUCCUUAAGGUCUUCCAUAAUCUGAUCUUGCACUUCUAUCCCUAACUUUCUUUUUUUUUUUUGAGAUUGAGUCUUGCUCUGUCGCCUAGGCUGGAGUGCAGUGGUGUAAUCUCAGCUUACCAAAACCCUCACCUCUUGGGUUUAAGUGAUUCUCCUGCCUCAGUCCACUAACUAGCUGGGAUUAUAGCUGUGUGCCACCAUACCCAGCUAAUUU
rnacentral:lncRNA from 1 species